rnacentral:lncRNA from 1 species
CCUUGAUGCUAUAUUAUACUAAGUGUUGGAAAAUCGAACAAGUCCUCAAGACUUUGUAACGUAUGCUAUUUGUGUAUUAAGUAGCCAAUGUGACUUGACACUUAGUCAUAUCGAGGGAAAGGUUAAACCAAAUUUCACUACUAGAGGUUUUUCGUUGUAUCGCUUGCGAGGCCGAGGCCUAUGCCAAGGGCGAUGUGCCAAUACAAUGCCGCAAGUAGAGGAUUUUCGUUGUGUCGCUUGCGAGGCCGAGGCCUAUGCCAAGGGCGAUGUGCCAAUACAAUGCCGCAAGUAGAGGAUUUUCGUUGUGUCGCUUGCGAGGCCGAGGCCUAUGCCAAUGGUGAUGUGAUAAUACAAGUUAUCAAGUAGAGGUUUUUUGAGGCGUCGCGGUGCGAGGCCAAGGCACAAGCCAAGAGU